rnacentral:lncRNA from 1 species
AUGGGCUGUAGCCCGCCAGACUCCUCCGUCCAUGGGAUUCUCCGGGCAGGAAUACUGGAGUGGGUGGCCAUCCCCUCCUCCAGGGGAUCUUCCCCACCCAGGGAUCGAACCAGAAUCUCACGUCUCCUGUGUUGGCAGGCAGAUUCUUUACCACUACGCCACCUGGGAAGCCCUUGCACUUUGAACCCUUUUUUUCAAAUUGUCUUUUUAGUUAAUUUAUUUUUUUUAGCUGCAGCGUGUACCAUGGGGGAUCUUGGGACACCGAUCGGGGAUCCCCUGCAGUCCCCUGCGUUGGGAGGACAGGGUCUUAACCACUCUAAUCAAGUGACCCAAGCUGCUGGCCAGGUCAGCGUGCCGAUGCUGACCAUCACUCUGGAGAGAGUCCUGUAUUGUUGGGUUUUUUUUUCCCCCCCAUCUCCCUGGGGAAACAUCACUGGUGUCCACAUCAAGAGUCCCACGAAGGCUGGUUUUUCUCUCCCCGCAGACCUGCAUCAUCUGGGCAGCCCCACGAGUCUCCUGGCGACGGCUUUCCUCCUCUCUGUGGUGCUCGACUCCGCGUGGCUCCUCACCCAGGAGCAGCAGGAUCUCCCAGCCGUGAAGCCAGACGCCAGUCUAAAUGUGAAGUUUGACCCACAGACGACGAAGCUGACUUGGGACUGCAAGGAAAACACCACCUAUGGGGAGUGUGCACUGAUUCACAAGGAGAAGGGACUGAUUAAGAAAAAGGUCAAACACAGUGAUUGCCAGUGCACAUUUCCAGACUGCUCUCUGCACGGGGGAGUCACGCUCACCGUUGAAGUGAGUGUCAACCAGAGACGGCUUUCAGAGAUGCUGGUCUACACUAACCCAGGUAAGGAGGGCACAGCUGCCGAAAACUUCUCCUGUGUUAUCUACGACGCGGAUUUCAUGAACUGCAGCUGGGCCAAGGGCCGAGCGGCUCCCGACGACGUCCAGUAUUUUUUGUACGUGCGAUCAAAGAAAAGAAUCGAGAGGGAAUGUCCUCGUUACCUGAAAGACUCGGGGACGCACGUGGGAUGUCACCUCCGAGACCUCUCGGGGUUAACGUCGUACAGUUACUUCCUGGUUAACGGUACCAGCCAAGAAGCAGGAAUCCAGUUCUUUGACUCAGUUUUGCUGCUAAAGGAAAUAGAGCAGUACAACCCACCUGACAAUAUCAGCGUCCAGUGCAAUGCGUCCCACUGCCUCAUCCAGUGGGAAAAGCCCAGGACGCGACAGGCACGGUCCAACAGGGAGCUCCAGUACCAGCUGGACAUCGAGAGAUGGCGUGACACCAGCAGCAGCAGAAGUCAGCUGAUUGUAGUAUUUGGUGACUCCGGGAACAGAUACAACUUUCCGAAGCCGGGAUCCAAAGCAAAACAUACUGUGAAGAUAAGGACGGCGGACGCCCGGAAAGCCCGCUGGGGUGCCUGGAGCCCGCCCGUUGAGUUCGGCUCCGAAGAACCAGAGUCCAGCCUGGUGUACAUCUACGUUAUGGUGGUUCUGGGGACCCUCGUCUGUGGCCUGACCCUCGGCUGCCUUUUCAAAAGGUAUGUGGGAUCGUAG